rnacentral:rRNA from 1 species
GAUGAACGCUGGCGGCGUGCCUAAUACAUGCAAGUCGAGCGAACAGACGAGGAGCUUGCUCCUCUGACGUUAGCGGCGGACGGGUGAGUAACACGUGGAUAACCUACCUAUAAGACUGGGAUAACUUCGGGAAACCGGAUCUAAUACCGGAUAAUAUAUUGAACCGCAUUGUUCAAUAGUGAAAGACGGUUUUGCUGUCACUUAUAGAUGGAUCCGCGCCGCAUUAGCUAGUUGGUAAGGUAACGGCUUACCAAGGCAACGAUGCGUAGCCGACCUGAGAGGGGGAUCGGCCACACUGGAACUGAGAAACGGUCCAGACUCCUACGGGAGGCAGCAGUAGGGAAUCUUGCGCAAUGGGCGAAAGCCUGACGGAGCAACGCCGCGUGAGUGAUGAAGGUCUUCGGAUCGUAAAACUCUGUUAUUAGGGAAGAACAAAUGUGUAAGUAACUAUGCACGUCUUGACGGUACCUAAUCAGAAAGCCACGGCUAACUACGUG